CACUUGUUUUGAAGUCCACACUUACCUGAGGAGGUUGCUUUCCAAGGAGCAAGCUAAACAACAAAUGGUUCUUUGAAGUAAGAAGAAAGAACAUGGAUUCUGGUCGCAAGAAUCUGGAUCCUGAUAAGAACUGGUUUCAACUGGCCAGAAAGGAAAACUGCCCAGAAAGUUGAACUUUAACAAUCUGAAAACUCAUUAUAAUGGGGAAAAAAAAACCCCUCCCAAAUAUGCAAUUAGGCAUCAACAAAUUCAUGCUAAGAAUAAUAUGGGAAAUACAAAGUAUGCUCACUAGAUAUUUGAUGAAUCAAAUGAUGCUGGCCAAUUAAAGAAUACAUUCCAAAUUCAACAUGUUUGAACUUAAAGUAAUUAAUAAAUGAUAAAGUUAACACUG